AGAGCCAUCUCUCCAGCCCCCUAAUGAAUAAGUAUUCCCUCAUUCCAUCCCUAGAGAGAUGUCUAGGCACAAGCAAGCUACAUCACAUCUCUUCUAAAAAUCAAGUGGAAGGAGAUACAGGUACACACUUGUGACCCCAGCACUUAAGACACUGCAGCAGGAAGUCCAGUCCUAAGGCCUGAGCACAGAUUGAAACUCUGAAAAGACCCUGUUGACUGAGUUGGUUUAGUCAGCCGAUGGCUGAAGUCCCAGCACUUGGCAUAGCACUGACGGGCAGGAGCACACUCGACAGACAGGAACAAGAAGGUGGAAAGUGGCUGGGCAGUAGUGGUGCACGCCUUUAAUCCCAGCACUUGGGAGGCAGAGGCAGGCGGAUUUCUGAGUUCGC